rnacentral:lncRNA from 9 species
GCGGCCAGCUGGCACCGCCCCGUCGGGCGGCCAGCGCAUCCCUGAGGCCGCACCGCGCGGGUGGCCCGGGCGGCGACGACGGGGGCGGGGGGGCGCGGCGGCCUCCCGGAUGCUUGCGGCAGAAGGCGCUGGUGUACCCCUAUCAUGGGCAGCAACCCCUUGGGAAGAGCUGAAGACCAGCCAGGGGAGAGGGAAAAAAAAAAAGCACAGAACACAUGCUGGUUCCAGAUUCCUGGCAAGAAUCAGAGCGCCUGUGCUGUGCUGAAAGCCGGCCCAAGCACAGAGCAGCAGAGGCCACUUGGAGCAGCUGCUGUCGACUUCCGCCUCGCUGGACAGCAUCCCUUCAGAUCCAUCUUUUCAAGUUAAGCGGUCCAAGGGGUGGUAUCAGAAUUGCAGUGGACACCUGACAAGACCCCCCCCCCCCAGGAGGGUGCAUUGUCCUAAUAAAGGGCAUACCUGACUGUCCCCAGGAAACUGUGGCCAGGACACUGCUGAUCUGCUUGCUGUCAUCUCUCGUGUGGUUCUUGGGUGUCUCUUCAGAACAUGCUCCGAGGCUCCUCUUACGUUUCCCUGCAAAGAACCCUUGUAAGGGGGCUGCCUACACAUGGCCUGCAUCUCUCGUUUCUACCACUGAGUUAGGUAAGGCAUCCUCAAGCCCCACAGCUGAAAAACUUAUUCGUGUGUCCACUGCAAAGCCACCGACUGUCCACGAGGCCUGGCUCAGAGGCCUCCCUUGCAGAAGGGAGGUUCCGCCAGUGAUGAGCGGGCGCGUCCCGCUGGCAGAGAAAGCUCUGUCUGAAAGCUAUGCCCGGCUUCGAUACAGAGACACCUCCUUGCUCAUUUGGCAACAGCAGCAGCAGAAGUUGGAAUCUGUGCCACCUGGGACGUACCUGAGCCGGAGCCGAAGCAUGUGGUACUCUCAGUACGGGAACGAGGCCAUCCUUGUCCGGGACAGAAACAAGCUGGAGGUCUCCCGGGACACGGGCCAGUCCAAGUUUUGCUCUGUUAUGUAACUUCUGGUGUGAAAAGCGAGCCCAGGCGCCGCCCUGUCUCCACCUCCAGCCCUUGCCCGGAGGUCCUGGCUGUGAACGUGAAGGCUGAGCUGCAGCGGAAGGACCCCAGGAUGCCAGGGAUGGCGCCCCAGCCCAUUUGCAGUCGGGGUGACUGGUGGACUUGGCUUCUGGCCUCCAUUUUGAGCUUCCGGGCGCUGCGGGCACAGCCCAGGCUGGGGCACGACGGGAUGCCACUCUGCUUAUGCUUCCAAAUAAAGCAAGCAAGAGGGACGUCCAGUCACACAACCUUUUCACAUUCUUACAGGUUGUUUUAGCGUCCGCUCUGCCUGGUACAGAAUGGGUCAGGGGACUCCCCGUCGUGGCUCCGUGGUAACGAACCUGACCAGGAUCCAUGAGGAUGAGGGUUCAAUCCUUGGACCCCCUGAGUGGGUGGAGGAUCCGGCAUUGCCGUGAGCUGUGGCGUAAGUUGCAGACGUGGCUUAGAUCUGGCGUGGCUGUGGCUGUGGUGUAGGCCAGCAGCUGCAGCUCCAAUUUGACCCCUAGCCUGGGAACGCCCAUAUGCCACGGGUGCGGCCCUAAAAAGACCAAAAAAAAAAAAAAAAAAAAA